rnacentral:rRNA from 1 species
UACAGAGGGGGCAAGCGUUAUUCGGAAUUACUGGGCGUAAAGGGCGCGUAGGCGGAUAGUUUAGUCAGAGGUGAAAGCCCAGGGCUCAACCUUGGAAUUGCCUUUGAUACUGGCUGUCUUGAGUUCGGGAGAGGUGAGUGGAAUGCCGAGUGUAGAGGUGAAAUUCGUAGAUAUUCGGCGGAACACCAGUGGCGAAGGCGACUCACUGGCCCGAUACUGACGCUGACGGCGCGAAAGCGUGGGGAGCAAACAGG